ACCUGGCGGCGGCUUACACAUGCAAGUCGAACGAUGAAAUCUAGCUUGCUAGAUGGAUUAGUGGCGAACGGGUGAGUAAUGCUUAGGAAUCUGCCUAUUAGUGGGGGAUAACCAUCCGAAAGGAUGGCUAAUACCGCAUACGUCUUACGAGAGAAAGGGGGCUUUUAGCUCUCGCUAAUAGAUGAGCCUAAGUCGGAUUAGCUAGUUGGUGGGGUAAAGGCCUACCAAGGCGACGAUCUGUAGCUGGUCUGAGAGGAUGAUCAGCCACACUGGGACUGAGACACGGCCCAGACUCCUACGGGAGGCAGCAGUGGGGAAUAUUGGACAAUGGGCGAAAGCCUGAUCCAGCCAUGCCGCGUGUGUGAAGAAGGCCUUUUGGUUGUAAAGCACUUUAAGUGGGGAGGAAAAGCUUGUGGUUAAUACCCAUUAGCCCUGACGUUACCCACAGAAUAAGCACCGGCUAACUCUGUGCCAGCAGCCGCGGUAAU
rnacentral:rRNA from 1 species